AUUGAACGCUGGCGGCAGGCCUAACACAUGCAAGUCGAACGGUAACAGGAAGCAGCUUGCUGCUUUGCUGACGAGUGGCGGACGGGUGAGUAAUGUCUGGGAAACUGCCUGAUGGAGGGGGAUAACUACUGGAAACGGUAGCUAAUACCGCAUAACGUCGCAAGACCAAAGAGGGGGACCUUCGGGCCUCUUGCCAUCGGAUGUGCCCAGAUGGGAUUAGCUAGUAGGUGGGGUAACGGCUCACCUAGGCGACGAUCCCUAGCUGGUCUGAGAGGAUGACCAGCCACACUGGAACUGAGACACGGUCCAGACGCCUACGGGAGGCAGCAGGGGGGAAUAUUGCACAAUGGGCGCAAGCCUGAGGCAGCCAUGCCGCGGGUAUGAAGAAGGCCUUCGGGUUGUAAAGUACUUUCAGCGGGGAGGAAGGGAGUAAAGUUAAUACCUUUGCUCAUUGACGUUACCCGCAGAAGAAACACCGGCGAACUCCGG
rnacentral:rRNA from 1 species